GUAGUAAUUAUUUAAAAUGUGGAAAAGAUAAAAUGUCGAAGUGUUAGUGAAGUCUAAUAAAAAAAAUCAUAUGCAUAAUAAUAUGGUAAAAGCAGAGUAUAGAUAUUAUAAUAAGUCAAUAAAAGUGCCGGCAAUUAAAAUUAAUUUCAAAUGCUAAGUAUGCAAAAUUAUUUGAUUCUAAACCGUCAACAACAAAAACGUGUUCACGUGCGAGAUAUCCGUCUGUGUUUGCUGCUAUGUACGCGUAUAUCCGAAAUCAAAGAAAAUAACAACGAAAACCGAAACGAAUGAAAAUGUCUGUCUAGUGAAGGAACGAAUUCGAUGCGGGCCGAUGAUUCCACCAGACUAAAAACCACAUCAAACUUUCAGUUUAGGUGAAUCUAAAGGUUGUUCGUGAAUAAUAUGUGGAUUUUCUUUGCACCAGAAAUGACAGUUGGGUUUAUUUACCGCACCACUCAGAUAAAAAACUGAUAACAUAUAGCUGCCGCAAAAAUUGAACGAUCAAACUCAAGAUAAGGAUCUCCAUAAGAUAUUCGUUUUCAUUAUUAGAAAGAACCAGCAAAACGUUUGGAUGCAAACCGUUGGCCGAUUAGACUCGCUCUGCCAAUAAUUGCAAUGGAUAAAGAGACGACGAUAUUCCUAAAUAAAUUAGUAAAAUGUACAGUUCAUGGCCUAUCAGGUCUAUAUCUACCACUUAAGUCGCGAUCUCAAUAACUCAUCGAACUGCCACAAAUUGCUUUACAUUAAAAAAUAACUAAAACCAAAUAAUGAAAACGAAGGCAAAACAAAAGGAUCGAGUUAAAACCAACAAAAACAACAGAGCUUCAAUAAAAAGACCGGAAAAUAAAAAGACAAACAAACCGAAACGAAAUUGAAACCGAAAACAAAAUUACUCGUACAUUUACAAAAACGAAAGGCACAGACAAAAACAACAAAAACUGACAUACAAAAUAAACGAGCGCACAAAGCAAAGGAAGCGAGCAAAAUGAGCGGACAAAAUUUUCGUACAAAAUUCAUUGACUUGGUCACUGACCGUCCUCAAGGUUUUUCGUAUUUUCGUAUGUGUUUUGCCAAGCCCACCAGCAUUAUGUAUGUAUGUGUAUAGAUAUGUGUUGUUGCUGGUGAGCGCCCGGAACCCUUCGCCGCAAGCCGAGCCAGAUCGCUGAGUACAGGACGCGCAAAUUACAGCAAAUGUGCGCAAAUAAUAACAACGAAAAGAAAAGCAACUGGCAAAAAUGCCACAACAACAACAACAAUUAACAACUAAUGAAAGCAAAGUGCAUAUAAAAUUGACGAAUAAGCCGAAAGCCAGAGAAAUAUAACACGACAACCAUGCAUACGUGGAACUCAAUGUAAGGAAAAAAACAUUCUAUCCAACAUUUGUAAUCUUUUCAGAUAGUCGCCUCGCCCUUUUUUGCCUUCCUAACCUUCCAAAGAUUAAAAACUGCUAUGGAAUAUUGUGCUGAACCGUCAAAUCAUCAGCUUUAUGUUUCGAACUAAAAAUAAUGAACAACGAACUAAAGUUGCAUUUAUUAGUAUCCAAAUUAUGAAAUUAAAAGGCGAAUCUGACUCAAAUUCGGGGAACUAAGGACAAUACUAUAGCGGUAUUCAGGCUUACAACACAUUGUUUGCAACAUUUGCUCAUUUUUCAUUUAUUUAUCUGGCUCAUACCAUGUGCAAUCUAAUUUCAUAAACAAAAAUAGCCGCAAGAUUGUGUUCAAUUUUUUGCAGAGGCUCCAAUUUGAUUUUAAAAAAAUUGUCGAAGGUUUCCCAACGAAUAACCGCUAACUUAAAAAAUUUAUAUUGUAACAUAGGUACGAAACGUAUAGUCGAAACAGAAUGAAAUUGAUUAUUUUUGGGAAUGACUUCUUAUGGCUAUGGGAGCAUGCGAGAUAUCAGAAGAAUUGAGAAUUGAUUGUUAUUUUCACCAAGUUUUCCAAAGGAUCUGACUACUAGUUUUCAAUUUUCCCGAUCUUCAAGACGUUAUCAGUUAUAGACAUGGUUAUUGGACUGUAUUCGUCCAUCUUAAGUGCUAAAAAAAGCUUAGUUGUUUCAUGAAGUGAAACGCCUUUUAUCUCUUACUGUCUUAGAGUUAUGGAGCUGGAGUUUCAUGACUCGUUUGAAGUAUUAUUUAUAUUGCAUAUAUUCUUUAUUUUGCGUAUAACUUUACAGAAACACUAUUACAAUCUAGGCACAUAACCCGGAAGAACUCGUGUAUUUAUUCAAUUAAUUUGUAUAUUUUUAGAAAUAUAUAUCAUAAAUAGAUAUAUAUCUGAA